rnacentral:rRNA from 1 species
CCUACGGGGGGCAGCAGUGAGGAAUAUUGGUCAAUGGGCGCGAGCCUGAACCAGCCAAGUAGCGUGAAGGAUGACUGCCCUACGGGUUGUAAACUUCUUUUGCCGGGGAGCAACGGGCGCCACGUGUGGCGCCACUGAGAGUACCCGGAGAAAAAGCAUCGGCUAACCCCGUGCCAGCAGCCGCGGUAAUACGGAGGAUGCGAGCGUUAUCCGGAUUGAUUGGGUUUAAAGGGUGCGUAGGCGGAGCGUUAAGUCAGGGGUAAAAUUGAGGGGUUCAACCCCUUCCCGCCAUUGAAACUGGCGCUCUUGAGUGGAAGAGAAGUAUGCGGAAUGCGUGGUGUAGCGGUGAAAUGCAUAGAUAUCACGCAGAACCCCGAUUGCGAAGGCAGCAUGCCGGCUUCCUACUGACGCUGAAGCACGAAAGCGUGGGGAUCGAACAGGAUUAGAUACCCCUGUAGUA